rnacentral:rRNA from 1 species
UACGUAGGGUGCAAGCGUUGUCCGGAAUUAUUGGGCGUAAAGAGCUUGUAGGCGGUUUGUCGCGUCUGCUGUGAAAUUUCGGGGCUCAACCCCGAACUUGCAGUGGGUACGGGCAGGCUAGAGUGUGGUAGGGGAGACUGGAAUUCCUGGUGUAGCGGUGAAAUGCGCAGAUAUCAGGAGGAACACCGAUGGCGAAGGCAGGUCUCUGGGCCAUAACGGACGCUGAGAAGCGAAAGCAUGGGGAGCGAACAGG